AAACAAAACAAACUUAUUAUUUUACAGUUCUGGAGGUCAGAAGUCUGAAAUGGGUCUCAGGGCUAAAAUCAAGGUGUCAGCAAGGCCGUAUUCCUUCUGUAGGCUCUAAGAGGAAUCCAGGUUGAACCACUGGCAGUAACCGUUUCCCAGCUGAUCACAUUUUGCCUGUAUUGCCUGAGACCAGGCUUCAGUAAUGCCUUAAAACCUUGCUACUCAAAGGGUGGUCCCCAGACCACCAGCAUCAGCAUCACCAGGGAGCUCGCGAGAAAUGCAGUCAGGCCCCACCACAAAUCUGCUGAACCAAAACCUGCCUGUCAACAGGAUCCCCAGACCUACAGCCACUGCAGACUCGACAGUAGAUGCAGAAGCAACAACCCACGUAAAACGCUCCACCAGCUCCCACAACUGUGCCACUUGUAAUUCACCACUUAGAGACAACCACGGCAACGUCAUGCAUGGCUUGAUGAGCGAUGUGCAGGUCUGUGCCUGGGAUGCAAACCAGUGAACCCCGGGCUGCUGAAGCGGAGUGCACGAACUUUGCUAUACCACUGGGCUGGCCCCAAGGAUGACUUUCUAAUAGGCUGUUCUGCAUGUUGCUCGACCUUCCUGCCUGAUGCUCCACUGUCACCAUCAGCUGAACACCGCAGGGGUGCGGCUGCCUGAGAACGACCUGAAGAAACUACUCUCCUCUGGCCAGUGUAAGACCCAUUUGCCUGUCAACCAGGGACUGCUCCCCACCAUUAGAAAUGUACUUUUGACCUUGCUAAUUCUAGAAAAUAGUCAAGGUAUUAGUAACUGAACUGAGCAAAUCCAUUUUUAAAAGAGAACUCAUAAUUAAUCUUAUCCCUACAUUUGGCAGAAGGGUGAAGUUAAGUGUGUAUUAACUGGCAGAAUCCUAAAAUCUUGUAGGCUCUUAACAUAUGAUUUGAUUACCAACUGCUUAGGUGGUUUGGUUGAUAUCAUGGAAGAUACCACAGGAGGUUUCUGUUGUCACUAUUCCAAUGGUUGUCCCAGCUAACAAAGAUAAGAUUAAAACUACUACUAUCUUCUUCUGCCUCUUUUGAGUACCUCUCUAACUUUGUUAAAUAGAGGCUGAUUUCUGAAGCAACAGAGAAUAAAUUCUGUCACGUUAGCUUAUUUGAAAGCCACUGCUCGCGUCGUCCUCUCCCCCGUCUCCUUUACAGGCCGACCCUGGCCGGUUCUGCCGGGUGUUCCUCACAUGAAGUGAUUGCCGUGCUCUUUAACAUCCUGCCGGGCUUCCUGGGAAGUCCAUUUUGUUAAAGUCCAUCGUGUAAUGUGGCUCUCAAAACUAUUAUGGGCUUGCCGAUGUCCAGUAAAGUGGAAGUAUCUGCAGUAGCUUCUGAGGGCAGCUUUGUUACUGUCUGGUUCAUGUUGAGUUUUCAAUCAACUAAAACCCUAAGUAUGCUUCAGGUUGGUUGCUGUUAAGCCAGUUUUCCACAAUAACGUACUUUUGGAAUUGAUA
ensembl:lncRNA